CACAAACACACCGCCUCAGCUGAGGCUCAAACCAGUGACCUUCAGGUUACUGAUGCCUUGCCCACUAGGCCACGCGCCAACAGUGUGAAAGAAAGGUGCAGUUCAUUUUGUACGAACAUCACUUCCUGUAGGCAUGUUACCUACAUCUCCAAAUUAAAAAGAAGUUUGGGACUUAUUCAUGUGUGAACAGUGCCCUUAUUGAAAGUAGAACUUCUCCUAUUAUUUUGCCAAGCUCGGAAUGAAAUGGAGAACUGUUCUGCUGUAAAGUGUCAAAUAGUUCCCCUGCUGUGGACCAUUGAAUACCAGAAUAAAAUGUGUUCUGUCAUGAAUACGAUUGACACUAAGGCCUGAGGACCAAUGCCACUAGCAGUACAGAAUGGUUUCUCUUUUUUAUGUAAAGUACUGUCCAAGUUGUAUUCUUAAGUAAUUCAUGUCACAGGAUGCUCUGUAAUUUACAAGCUCUGCAAAGAAAAAAUCCAAAACAACAUUCAAAACUAAUCUCUGGAUCAAUAAAACUGUUUUAUACUCUUCCCAGGUACUAAUCUUUCUGUUACAAGAGGAUCUAUAAUUCUGUGAAGAGUAACAUUUACCACUUAGCCUUAGCAAGCCUGACCAGCACCUCAAUCCUGACCCAGUGUCAUGUCACACAAUCUUUUACUUAUGACCCUGAUCAUGAUCGGCAGAAAUCUGUGCUUUUUAGCAAUGAACUUUUUUCCAUGUACACUUUCACUAUAUAGCAAGAGUAUAUGCAAAAUCUCAGAAAGAAAUUGAAACCUGCACACUGUUUUUGACAGGACAAAAUGAUUUUCUUUAAUGUGAAUGUUCAAAUUGUAUUAUUUUGUGUUACAAUUGCUAGGGAAAAUUGUUACAAGAAAGGAAAAGCUUCUCUAAUGCUGGAGGGUUAUGAUUUCGUGUAAAUGUAAGUGGGUGAUCUAAUGAAAGGAGAUGAUCAAAUGUCACUUGAAUAUAUAGCACUGUGUUUUAGUCUUCAAAGUUAAAAGUGCACUGCCAAUCAAGUUUGAAAAUGAAAUUGCCCCAGACUUACAAUUUUUCACGACUUAAUUUAGCGUCUUGUACAGUUUUAGUGCAAAGUUUGCUGAAAGUGUUUGCAUAGUAGGGGGAACUUUAAUAAAAUCCUAUUUAAUGCUAAAAUGUCACUUUGCAAAUAUGCAUGCUGUCUACAUUGCUAUAGCAUGUAUAAUUAAUAAUUGAAGUUCCUUUGACAGUUGCAAUCCUAAUGCAAUUUCUCUAAGCCUUUCUGGUCUCAGAAUUGGCUGAGGUCAAAUUCUUGAGGCACCUGUCCUUGUUAUGGUUGUCACCAGACUUAGCCUGUUCUUAUGCUACCUCAGACACACAGAGAAUGGUUUUAUGUUAAUAUGAGGAUGACAGAUGCAUUCAUAUGUACAUAAAGAAGCCAUAUGUUAAACACCUAAAUAGGACUAUAUUUCUUUUUAUAACUUCCUAAUUAUAGAUUCUGUGAAGUGAAGUGUUGAAAGCACAAGGCCCAGUAUAUUGCAGAGAAAGGCUGCCUGUGACUGUGCCAAAUACCUUAUAAUGUCAUAAUUGCCGUGAAACCAGACAAAGCACUUUGCACGGUUGAGAAUGCAGGAAACGGUCAAUUGCAACAUGACAAUGGAUUCUAAUCUCUCUGCACAGUGACAGCGGGAGGCAAGCUUGGGUAUUAGAGAAAAAAAAUGCAUUGAUUUGUUGACAAAGUGAGUGAAGCUUGACAGCUAUCACAAUGAAACAUUGGUCUUCUCCACUUAAUCAAUGUCAGCCUUCUAACCAAAUGGUUUCACAGCCAAGAUGAAAAGCAAUCAAGAAGAACACCCUCAUAAGCAUGAAACCUGGAAGAUGGAGUUCAAUGAAGUGUGUCAUUUAGUUCUGUGUCCCAAAGUCUGAUACACAACCCAAAUGCUAAUCGCGAACACUUAACCCUUUAGGAGAUGAACAGCAAUUGGAAUGUGUGUGAACAGGUAAAUGUUAGUAUUCUAAAUUAGAGCCUUCCGACUCAAAACAUUAAUUAAUUAGCCUAUUUCUGUUCCAAAAAGAAUUGGUAUUAGUACUCAAAAUAAAUAACAUCCAGCAUAUAUUUUUAUUUAACCUUUCUGCAUCUGAUUUUGUCCAAGUCAGAUUCGCCAUUUAACUAGUCCAGUGAUGAUGUGACUGAAUUUCAAUCACACUUCAGUCAUGACUAUGCUGAAAGUUAAGAUUUUCUAAGACAGCAAUAAAAUGUAACUCUAGAAUAAAGACUUUUGUUUGAGACUUGUUUAAAAUGAGGAAUUUGUUGAUAUUAGGUUGGCUAACUCUACGGUUAAAUUAGAAGUUGUUUGAAAGAGCUAAUUAGUUUACUGUGAUUUUUGUAAAAUUUCUAGUGCCCUGAUGAAGGGUCUCAUCCUGAAGCAUUGACCAUUAGAUGCUGGCUGGCCUACUGAGUUCCUCCAGUAUUUUGUAUGCAUUGCUUUGGAUUUCCAGGACCUCCAGUGUCUAUUAAAAUCUUGAUAUGUAAUGGAGUGAUAAUUGUGUUUAUUCUUAUUUUAAAUUCUCAUUCUUGUUUAGAAACAUUGAACGAUGAACAUGAACAUAGGACUUUUCGUAUCGAUCUUUGUUCAGUGAAAAGACGAAAGCCUUUCUGUUGUCUAACACAAUGUCCUAAAUGUAAAAAUAUCUCAGAGAAAUUAUACAAAAUGUACAUUGAUGAACCUGAGGUGGGCAAAGUCAUG